UACGUAGGUCCCGAGCGUUGUCCGGAUUUAUUGGGCGUAAAGCGAGCGCAGGUGGUUUAUUAAGUCUGGUGUAAAAGGCAGUGGCUCAACCAUUGUAUGCAUUGGAAACUGAUAGACUUGAGUGCAGGAGAGGAGAGUGGAAUUCCAUGUGUAGCGGUGAAAUGCGUAGAUAUAUGGAGGAGCACCGGUGGCGAAAGCGGCUCUCUGGCCUGUAACUGACACUGAGGCUCGAAAGCGUGGGGAGCAAACAGG
rnacentral:rRNA from 1 species